rnacentral:rRNA from 1 species
GUUGGAGGUAGAGCACUGGAUGGUCUAGGGGGCUUAUCGGCUUACCGAAAUCAGCCAAACUCCGAAUGCUGGCAAGCGUAGCGUGGCAGUGAGACGGCGGGGGAUAAGCUUCGUCGUCGAGAGGGAAACAGCCCAGAUCAUCAGCUAAGGCCCCUAAGUGGUGACUCAGUGGGAAAGGAUGUGGAGUUGCGUAGACAACCAGGAGGUUGGCUUGGAAGCAGCCAUCCUUGAAAGAGUGCGUAAUAGCUCACUGGUCGAGU